UGAGGAAUAUUGGUCAAUGGACGAGAGUCUGAACCAGCCAAGUAGCGUGCAGGAUGACGGCCCUAUGGGUUGUAAACUGCUUUUGUUUGGGAAUAAUCGACAUUACGUGUAAUGUUUUGCAUGUACCAUUCGAAUAAGGACCGGCUAAUUCCGUGCCAGCAGCCGCGGUAAUACGGAAGGUCCAGGCGUUAUCCGGAUUUAUUGGGUUUAAAGGGAGUGUAGGCGGUUGGUUAAGCGUGUUGUGAAAUGUAGAUGCUCAACAUCUGACUUGCAGCGCGAACUGGCUGACUUGAGUACACACAACGUAGGCGGAAUUCAUGGUGUAGCGGUGAAAUGCUUAGAUAUCAUGAAGAACUCCGAUUGCGAAGGCAGCUUACGGGAGUGUUACUGACGCUAAAGCUCGAAGGUGCGGGUAUCGAACAGG
rnacentral:rRNA from 1 species